rnacentral:rRNA from 1 species
AUUGAACGCUGGCGGCAGGCUUAACACAUGCAAGUCGAGCGGAGAUGAGGUGCUUGCACCUUAUCUUAGCGGCGGACGGGUGAGUAAUGCUUAGGAAUCUGCCUAUUAGUGGGGGACAACAUUCCGAAAGGAAUGCUAAUACCGCAUACGUCCUACGGGAGAAAGCAGGGGAUCUUCGGACCUUGCGCUAAUAGAUGAGCCUAAGUCGGAUUAGCUAGUUGGUGAGGUAAAGGCCUACCAAGGCGACGAUCUGUAGCGGGUCUGAGAGGAUGAUCCGCCACACUGGGACUGAGACACGGCCCAGACUCCGACGGGAGGCAGCAGUGGGGAAUAUUGGACAAUGGGGGGAACCCUGAUCCAGCCAUGCCGCGUGUGUGAAGAAGGCCUUAUGGUUGUAAGGCACUUUAAGCGAGGAGGAGGCUACUGAGACUAAUACUCUUGGAUAGUGGACGUUACUCGCAGAAUAAGCACCGGCUAACUCUGUGCCAGCCGCCGCGGUAA